UUUCUGCGUGAGGGCUGCUUCUUGGGGCUGAGUGUUCUGGUGUUACAGUCCUACAUCACCAGUUGGCAGGGAAGAUUUUGCUCACCACUCUUCUCCUUGGCUGCGUGCUUAUGUGUCAACUCACCUCCUGAGUGACCCUAAUUCAGGGGGCAUGCAGGGAGUGCUUCAGUGCUUUUCAAGGCUGGCCCAACUGAGUGCUGCAAUUCUCCCUUUUCUUGGAACCUUUUUAAAGGUGAUCAAAAAACAAUUACAUCCUUGGAUCUGUUCAAGGCAGGACAAGGUUUGGAUCAGCAGUAGGGAGCUCUCCCUUCUACAGAUCUCCUAUCAUGAUUCUACAAACAGAAACUGAUUUUCUAGAUAUCAAGCCCAUGGACAUGGGUGGUAUAUUUACCUCUUAUAGUUUUGGCUCAGUUAUCAUCACUGUUCUGCACUCAGAAGAGCAUAUCUUAAUUACAGAAAUUUUAUCUUAAUUUCCACUGCAACUGAAUGUUAUUUUAAAAAGCUAAUCUGAAAUAUUUUGUGUGAUCCACUUGGGUGAUACCCCUGUGCCAUUUUUAGGGAAGUUGUGAAGAUGUAUUUAAAAGUGUAAUACACCUCAUCUGGUCUUUUCACUUGAUUCAGGUUCAAAAUCUCACUUUUUAGUAGCUGACACAGUAUGACGAGCACCCACAACAGAGGAAUUCACCCGAGUGGUAAAUUAAAGAGCAGCACAAUACUGUGAUAGCCUUGACUUCAAGCAGUAGCUGAAGUAAAGGAGGAACAUUGCACUAAAAAGAAUUCGAAUGAUCUCUAAUAAAGAAAUUUGUGUAUUAAAGAAAGUAACUCUAGAAUUUGGAAUGCUUAUCGUUGAAACAGAUGCCAACGUUAUUCUUCAAGGAAUAUUCAGAGCAGAGUGUUAGACAGAUGGACACAGGAAAAUCAAUAGUUCAGAGAGCUACCUCAGAUGAGUGUAUUUUGCAUAGGUCAAGUUUAAUGAAACCUAAGUCUCAUGAAUCAACACUUUUGGUGUAAAUAAUUCACAGUAAUGGGAAAAAAGCACUAAGCCUGUAUGGGAUGAAUGUAAACAUUUCAAGUUGUUUGAGUUAUGAUGUGAUCUAAGCCUUGCAAUUGUUUUAUGCAUAGAUACGAUUCUAGUAGUGUGGAGGUCUGGGGCAGCAGAAGAUUGGAGGUAUUUUCUGAUAAUUUAGUAAGGUAUGGAAAACAUCAUAAAAUUUGAGUGGCAGUUAUAGUACAGUAAUGGCAGAGUUUAGUGUUUGAUAUGGGUUUUUAAUGUUUUUUAAAAAA
ensembl:lncRNA